CAGGUGCAAUGUAGUCUGAUUUUUACCUUUCGAGGCAGGUGGUGUGAAAAACCUAUUUUGACUGUGAAAAGCUCCCCGUCCUCCUCGAUUGCCUGAAAAUCC